AAAAGAAUUCAUUUUGAUAUUUAUACCAAACAGUAAACAGCUACAGUGUGUUGUAGAUGAUCGAGUGUCGCGAGCCAUAAAAGCUAAACUUAAAAAAUGUAUUAUUGUAUCGCUAUAUUAUUCGUUUCAGCAGUGUAUUCUCAACAGACCCAAACCGAGAGUAAUAAUUCAACGGUAGAAACGUACUGAAAAAAAUGUGCACAAGUGUAUCUUACUUUAUUCAACACGUCAUUCUGCUGAUACAUAAGUUGAGUGGCACGCGUUCAUAUCCUGAAAAAAAAACACAAAUGUUUACAGACAGCUCAACUCACAAAGAUCCGGCAGACAAUACGGAGUUCCUCAAGUAGAACAAUUCAGACCAACGGGAUACCCUUACCCUACCAGCCAAAGAUUAGAAUUUUCUCACGAUAACAAACUACACAUCUACCUGUUCCAAAACAAAUUGAGUAUUUAUUGUGCCACUGAUACCACUUAUGAAAAAAUUACCUGGAAGAAGUACACGUGUCCUUCUCAAGUAGCUAGCCAAAAUGGUGAAGCCGUUGCUGUUGGUCCGAUUGUACCAAAUCCGCAGCUGUAUGGUGUCAACAGUUUUGCUCGUAACGAAGAAUUUAUCUCCGAG